UACGAAGGGGGCUAGCGUUGCUCGGAAUUACUGGGCGUAAAGGGCGUGUAGGCGGACAGUUUAGUCAGAGGUGAAAGCCCAGGGCUCAACCUUGGAAUUGCCUUUGAUACUGGCUGUCUUGAGUUCGGGAGAGGUGAGUGGAAUGCCGAGUGUAGAGGUGAAAUUCGUAGAUAUUCGGCGGAACACCAGUGGCGAAGGCGACUCACUGGCCCGAUACUGACGCUGAGGCGCGAAAGCGUGGGGAGCAAACAGG
rnacentral:rRNA from 1 species